AUCAUCUUCUGGGUAUAUGCUCAGGAGAGGUUGAAAGACCCCUGAAGGGAGACCCUCACUCAAGCCUCGGGACAGCCACGGACCCAAGAAGACACUGAGACCG
rnacentral:pre_miRNA from 7 species